rnacentral:rRNA from 1 species
GACGUAGGUCGCGACGUUAUCCGGAAUUAUUGGGCGUAAAGGGUGCGUAGGUGGCCUGGCAAGUUAUCAGUGGUAAAUCGAGGCCCAACCUCGUGGAAACUGGCAAUACUGUUUGGCUUGAGUGCAGGAGAGGUUAACGGAACUCUAUGUGGAGCGGUAAAAUGCACAGAUAUAUAGAAGAACAUCAAUAACGGCGAAGGCAGUUAACUAUUCUGUUACUGACACUGAGGCACGAAAGCGUGGGGAGCAAAACGG